CAGCAGGCCCUGGUGCUUCCGCGGGCCCGUGUGCGUGUGGCCCUGGUCAUUACUGUGACAAAUCCGGGACGGAGCUGUUUCCUUAGGCAGCAGCCUUUCGCCUUGAAGGUUCCUGAGAUGAAACCGUUGUGUAUUCUGGCUCGCAAUUCUUCCUGCGGUGUGCAGCCGAAAUAGAGCUGCGGUGUAGUGGCCACUUUCUUAAACAAUUACCAUAUCGGUAGGGUUGGAAGGGAGCACUGGAGAUGGUAUUAGAGAAUCAUGGAAUCAUCGGCGUUGGAAGCGACCUUUACGAGCAUCAAGGCACCCAUCACCCAGCACCGCCACUGUAACCCCUAAACCACAUCACUAGGCACCAGACCCAGACACCUGUUAAACACCUCGGGCAUGCUGACCACCGCCUCCCUGGGCAACCUCUUCCAGUGCCACCGUCAGGGUGAAAAAGUUUUUUCUAUUAAUAUAAUCUGAAUCUCCUCUUCGACAAUCUCCACAUCAACUUGUCCAAGCCCUUUGUAAGGCAGAGUCACCUGGAGCCUGUGAUAGGAACGUUUCCAGAGGCAGCUGAAAAUCCUAUCUGCUUUCAUACUGAUACUCUCUCUGCAAGAAUCUGACAGUGUUGAGAAGACAGAGCUAGGCUCUUCUCAGAGCGGCACAGUGGGAGGACAAGAGUCUGUGACCAAAAGUUAAAACACUGGAACAUUGGAAACUCAUCCCAGCUCAAGGGGAAAACCUUUGCCCUGAGUAUGCUGCAACAGAGUGCCUGUAUAGAUUGUGGAAUCGUCACCCAAGGAGACCAGAGCCACUUUGGACUAGCCACUGCCUUCAGCAUUUGGAUCUGAAUAGACUUACACUGAGUAGGGUUUUGGUGUGUUUUCCAGUGGCACCUUCCAACUGCUUCUGUCUAAGGUAGUCAUUGAAUGCAUAUGGACUGAUGCCAGUGAGAGAAAUUUCUCUCUCUUCAUUCAUAUUUUUCAAGUGAUAGGUACAGGUCAAUGGAGUUUUGUUUUACAGGGAAAUAUAUAAAAAUGAAGCAACUAAAAUGAAAGAAGAUUAAAAUAGUUGUGAAUUUUCAUUUGUAUAAUGUGUUGCUUUACUCUUAGAACUGCAUGAACAGUAUUAUAUGUAUUUCACUUUCUCUAUGUCAUCUUGAUAUUUAAUUUGAUAACUUUACUCAUAAGAACAUCGUAGUAAUUGCAUUCAAUGGUUGUUUGCCUACACCAAUGGUGAUCCAGCUGAAACCUAGACUUUUUGCUUUUCCUGGUCUGUUUUCUUUUUUCCUGUAAUUUCUAAUUCACAGGCUAAUCGUGACAAUGAUGAUUAUGAUGUGUAUUCCUUCUGCUGAGAGAAGAUUAUUAGUAAUUUUGGAGUCUCAUCUUCAAUGGAGAGGUGAAGUCAUUUUUUGAAGCAACAACAUAGAGUUACUAUAAAUUAUGUACGGAGUGUGUUCAUUCACAGCUUAGCAGUUUCCUACCUGAAUUGAAGUAUCUUGGUGCUUUCCCACUAUGUUACUAGCUAGAAAAUAACCAGGCUUUGAGAUCUCCCCCACUGACAGUCCAGGAUUCGAAAGCUUAAAAGAGUAAUGUUUGCAUGCAAGUUAGUAACUAGUUACAGGAUCAUCUUUGUUCUUUCAGGCUAAUUGUCUAGAAAUUAGACAAAACCAAGACAAAACCACUGUGCAAUGUAGGCUCAGAUCUAAAGUCAGUCUUCAGAUAGCUUGGCUGUUGUACAUUGAUAAUGAAUCUGUUUCAAGUCUUUCUUUGUUUUCUCUCUUGUAAUGCUUCCCCCCCCUCACUCCCCUCAAGUUAUGUAUUUUGAGUAUUAAAUAAUAUUAUUCAGAAGUAAAUGGUAGCUAUACAGACAUUAUAGUCUCACUAUGGGAUUAAAUACACAGGCAGUUCUGGGUGAAGUUGUAUAAAUCAUAACACUGUGCUCCAUCAACUUCCAUUUUUAUACCCAUAAGAUGAGGCAUUAAGAACACUUUUUACCUUGUAAAAUGAAGAAAGAGAAACAAUAAGAAUUUAUUGCAGCCCAUAAACAAAAGGAAAGAAAGGGAAUAGAAUUUAAGGAAUAAUGUGCUAAUUCAAAACAAUCCAGAGAUUAUUAUUAUGUAUAUAUGGUAUAUGUGUAUAAACUAAUUCAGUGUAAUAAAUAACAUGGAAAGAACAUUGUAAAUCAUAGGACCUAGUUUAGUUUCCACACAGUUUGUUUUAUGUCACAUCAACCAGGCCUUAUAGGAAACUACAAAGCAUAAUAUUACAAUGCACUCCUUAAAACUGGGUUUGUGUAUGUAAAAACUGUGACAUAAUAAUGUACCAAAUGUUUCCCAUGUUACCAAGUGUUAUAGCAACCUUUCCUUCUGCCUAGCUACUAGAGCUGGAUCUUUUGCUGUCUUUGAACUUCUUAAUAGGUAUGGUCUGCAGUAUUUGAUUUCUCUUCUUGACUCUUAAGUUUUAAUAUGUCAAAAUUAAUAUUUUAGAUUACUGAAAGGAAUUAGGAUUCAGUCCAAAAAUUUGUUAUUGACUUGUUGUAAAUUAGGUCAGGUGUCUCCUGCAGUAUGCUUUUGAAGCAUUUUUAAAGUAAAACUGAAAAUAAAUUUUAAAAGUAUUUUCAAUAAACACCUUACUAACUCUUUUACCAGUGAAGCUUUCAUAAGCACGAAAAAUAUACCAUCCUCGUAUAUGUAAUUCUGAGCAUCCUCUUAUAUAUAACUGUACAUGGUAAAGAAAUACAGUGCUGCCAACUUAUGUUGUCAGAAUCUUAAGCCCAAGGAGGUUCAAAUUUGGAUGGAUUUUCAACAAAUUGUUUGGAAGUGCUGCCAUUUUUCUGUGCUUACCUGUGACUUUUCAACAAAGCUGUGUUAUAAAGCAUCUUUCCAGAACCAAGCAGAACAGAAUAGGGGAAGCUGUUUAAAAUUAGGUCCUAGAUAUCCGCUUUUUGUAGCAAUCUCACAAAUACUGGUAGUAGUUCUCUAGAUGACCGUCUCUUUCUUUUUUCAGAAUAAAUUAUAUAAAAAUCUUUGUUAGGAUAAUGUUGGAAAUAUUUUUAUGUUCAUUGCCAAAUGCAUCAUAAAAUUCAUCUUUAAAACCUGGCCAUAUUUCUGUUAGUAUGAAUCUUGGCACAAAUGCUGGUGCCAGACCUUCAACCUAGUGUCAGCUUAAGAGUCUGGCAGAGAUUUGCCAGAUGCUUUUCCAGCCGUUCACCUGGAACACAGAAUGGAAUAGAAAGUCCAUUUGGUCUUCUGAAAUAUAAAUCCCAUUCUCCAUAUCUCUGUAUGGAUUCCCAGUAUUGAAUGCUGUUUUCAUCUGUAGAGGUUUUGAAUACAAGUGCAAGUGCUUGUUCAGAAUCAUGAACAGUUGAAAAAUGGGAGAGAUCUGUUUCAUUUCGCUUCUAAAGCUAACUGAGAAGCUUUACCAAAAUAAUUAAUAUAUUAGCUCCAGUUAGCAUGUUUAAAAACUUCUCUAAGCUAUAUUGUUAUGGUAGGCCUAAAAGGAAAAGCUUAAAGAUCAGUCACCCAAAAAAAUAAUCACCCUAAAGUGGUUAAUAAAUGCCAAUAUCUGUUUUCAAGCUGGGGAAAACAGUAAGCUACACUACAUUAGCUUCUUACAUAUUUGUAUCAUGUAUGUUUCUAAUGCAAAAAUCUUAUAUGAGUCAGUAUCUGUGCAUGUACUGAAACAGCUGGUGGGUCACCAUGUGUGUGAUACCAGCCAGCUAUUUCACCUUUUGUCCAGACAGAAAGGUGGGAUAAAAGCAGAAGCUAUGGCAGCAACCGCUGUGAAGGAUGUAGUCUGUAACCUGUUAGGAGAAAAGGGUUCAUUAGCUCUGUUUUUCAUGAAAAAAUAUUUAUUUUGUAAAAUUCUUGCUUCAUUGCAAAGUAAAAUGUUUAUGAUCACUGUUGAAAAGAUUGAUAGAAACAGAUUAAUAAAUGUAUCCCUUGCUUUUUAAUUAAUUUUUACUAAUAUAUUUUAUCGGUACAUAUCUUUUUGUUGUAAAAAAAAUUUAAAAAUGCAAUGCUUACCAUGGGAUUGUGUCUGAUUCAGCUAAGCAAUUUUAAUAAAAUAGACAGUUUACUUUUGUUGUUUACAAGUCACAUGAUAUCGUCCUAAAGUAAGUAACAUAUGCUUUCUUAAAGGGACAGUACUGAUCUGGAAAAAUUUGAUCUUUUUUCCUAAUCACUGCAGACAAUUAAAUUUACUUCAAACAUGA